GUACACAGCGUUCCAGGAUAUCUGGUUGUCAAGAUGGAUCCGUCUCUGGAAUGGCGGCUGGCGUUGGCCCUAACGUUUCUUGUGGUGGCUGUGGAGCUGGGGCAACUGUUGCUGCUGCCAUUGUUGGUGGAUUUUCCGAUGUCACUGGAACUGAUGGAGUUGCCGCCGCUGCCUGGGAUUGGAUGAGCGAGUGCCUGGCUGCAGGAUCCCUCGCAAGAUUGGCGUUUCG